CGGGACACGUGGUAUCCUGUCUGAAUAUGGGGGGACCAUCCUCCAAGGCUAAAUACUCCUGACUGACCGAUAGUGAACCAGUACCGUGAGGGAAAGGCGAAAAGAACCCCGGCGAGGGGAGUGAAAAAGAACCUGAAACCGUGUACGUACAAGCAGUGGGAGCACGCUUAGGCGUGUGACUGCGUACCUUUUGUAUAAUGGGUCAGCGACUUAUAUUCUGUAGCAAGGUUAACCGAAUAGGGGAGCCGAAGGGAAACCGAGUCUUAACUGGGCGUUAAGUUGCAGGGUAUAGACCCGAAACCCGGUGAUCUAGCCAUGGGCAGGUUGAAGGUUGGGUAACACUAACUGGAGGACCGAACCGACUAAUGUUGAAAAAUUAGCGGAUGACUUGUGGCUGGGGGUGAAAGGCCAAUCAAACCGGGAGAUAGCUGGUUCUCCCCGAAAGCUAUUUAGGUAGCGCCUCGUGAAUUCAUCUCCGGGGGUAGAGCACUGUUUCGGCAAGGGGGUCAUCCCGACU
rnacentral:rRNA from 1 species